rnacentral:rRNA from 1 species
CAGUAGCCGCGGGAAUACGAAGGGUGCAAGCGUUAAUCGGAAUUACUGGGCGUAAAGCGCGCGUAGGUGGUUCAUUAAGUUGGAUGUGAAAGCCCUGGGCUCAACCUGGGAACUGCAUCCAAAACUGGUGAGCUAGAGUCUGGCAGAGGGGGGUGGAAUUCCGCGUGUAGCAGUGAAAUGCGUAGAUAUGCGGAGGAACACCGAUGGCGAAGGCAGCCCCCUGGGCCAACACUGACGCUCAUGCACGAAAGCGUGGGGAGCAAACAGGAUUAGAUACCCGCGUAGUCCCUGUCUCUUAUAC